GCAGAACCGCAGCUGCGGCAGCGGGUCCAAACCAUCCGCCCAGGAAGCGCCGCAACCCGGCCUCGGGAGGGGCGGAGGGGGCGAGGCAGGGGCCUCGGACCAAGGGGAGUCUUGGUCUCACUGUGCACCACACACUCUUUUUCCCAGAAGCGCAGGGCCACGCGAACAAAAUGAGGUUCAAGCUGACCAGGCCAAGCCGUGGAGGAAUGCUGGGCUUGACCGCAGAAGGGAUGGGACCAGAGAGGAGGGUGUCAAGGAGACCCCAGUAAGGGGCAGCACAUUUCAGGUAAAGAAAGGUCCUGUCUUCAUACCUCACUUCCUGACACAAACAAGUUUUUACUGUUGUCAGCAACAAAGCCCUAAUAUAGCUGCGGAGGAGAAAAACAGCAUUGCAUUUUUGUCUCCUGUGAGCAUCAACAGUUACCGGAGGAAUGUAAUUCCACAAAGCUUUAAAACUGGUGCUGAUGGUAAUUACGUAUCAAAAGCCUAACUCUCUGUUACUGUUUUGGCAUUUCUACAGUGAUAUGGAACUAAACUCACAGAGGGACAAAUCUUUUUUUUUUUUUAAUUUAAUCAGGCCGGCUAGAAAACUCAUUGCUCUUUGGGGGAAAUAAAGUAGGAGCCACGAAAUGUCAUUUUAACAGAGCGUGGGUUUUGUGACUGUAGAAAAGGAUUUAAGGACGCUCCUUCUGUUCGGCUUGCUGGGUAGGAGCACAGGCUGCACGCACGUACCGACGCCACAGCUCCCGGAUGCUUCCCCGAGCUUCUGCAGCGCCAGAAGCACCUUGGGGAUGCAGCGAGGGGCUCCCGAUGGGUGGUGGUACAAUAGCUUCGGCCGCCGCCACCAGUCCUGCCGCUGUUGUUGCCACUGCAGUCACGUGGGAACCCCUUUAAGUUUCCAUAGAGGCCUCUCCGGUGUCACAUGAUGGACAUGAUAUGAUGAAACAACAUUGUGGCGAGGAAAGCAUGAGGAGAGCCCACGGCUACAAAAACAAGUGAGUGAGAAGAGGUGGGAGGAAGAGAAACUACGCCACCUCCCUUGCAGCCGAGCGCACGCAGAAGCCCGGCGUGACAAGUGGGCGACGGCGGGGGGCGGGGAGUCUGGGGUCCUCGGCCCUGGCCAGAGCCCCCCGCUGCCCAUCGCGCCGCGGAGAGCAACUUUGCCGGCAGCUCGGCCACCAGACCUGCACCUGUCUCCAGUCUCCGUCACUCCUCGUCAUCAUCCCGGGGAAAUUCUCGAAGAAUACGCCGUACAAAUUACGUGCGCAUCAUUUUCCUCCGGCGUCUCACUCGCUCGGGAGGAAAGGACGGGAAUGGGAUGGAAGCGGCGUGCGUCGGCCGGGAGGAGCUUAAAUAAUUUUCAGAGCUAGAAGAAUUAGGAUGUUUCUCCGCCUCACUGACUGAGCUCAGCACUACCUGCUUCAGGAAAUGAUUGAGGACAACCUGGAAGCUGAGAAAAGAAUGAAAACAGCAGACGUACUUUCAGUGGAACCAAACAAACCACUGAACAGGUAACUGUAAUUGAUGCUAUCUUUUCCUGCUAAGGGUUGAGCAUUGCUUGCUGGAAAUACCUGGGACCAGAAGUGUUAAAAUUCUGGAUUUUCUUGGCUUUUGGAAUAUCUCCACGUGGGUUUUCAACAAAGGCAAAAAUGAAAUCCUUCAGCUAGGAAUUCCAGUGUGAAAUGAAACCCCCGAGAGGAGAAGACCAGUUGCCUCUCUACCUCUCCGAGUGGCACAGGUGAGAUUAGAACACCCGCUGAUGAUUCUCAUCCAGUGACCCGGACACAUCUGCAUACCCCUGCCUCCUAGUGCCCUGCUGUUGACACAUGGCAGAGCAGCCUCAGAGACAGAGUGUUCCUGGGAAGUAGGUUUCCAAAGCAGAUGCUCCUUCUGUGGAAAAGUCUAAGGGCUGUGGAGUCUACUGGAUGUCCCGCUUGCCUGUCCAGAUCUGCAUCCUGCUUCCCUGCAGCUGGCCCAUGACGUACCUUCAGGCUGGGCUCCGAACAAUCACACCUUUUCUGAUCCUGCCUGUGCAGAUCGCCAGGCAUCUUCCACUCCGGACAGAGGCACUUAUGAACGAUGUUAAUAAUGUGAGACAGGGGCCAGGGAGAUGGCUCAGUAGAAUAAGCACUGGCCUGGCAAGCUCAAGGGCCUGAGUUCAAUCCCCGGUUCCACCUCCAAACACAAACCAAUAAACGACAGAUCAGAUUUCUACUGAGUCUGUGCUCUUUGCCUCACCCUACAACCUAUACUUAGACAACUGGCUACAUGUUUGUGGCAUGAGGUGAGCCUGGAAGACAAGGCACAUGCUAGCGUACGCCCAGGUAAUACAUGUCAGCUCCAUUUAAAUUCUUCUUGAAUGAUUGAAAGGGGACCAAAAAAAGUGAAAUUUACAUACUGAAUGGACAGUGUCAGUAAGCAAAAUAGCGCCAAGACUAUUUGUGGGAACUGUAUGGGUCUGUUUCUUGAGCUGGGUAUUUGUGAAUGCAUUCCUAACUUUCAUUAGCUUGAUGCUCCUGUGAAAAAACAAUGUCUAUAAAAUUUACAUUGCAAGUAACUCCUGGGGCUGCUACCACCCUUUUUCUCAUUGCCCAGCCCAACAGCAUAUACCUAUUUUGUCUAGAGGAUGAGAGAAAAACAUAUUCUACCAAAAUACUUAUUUGACUUCUAUGUGGCCACCAUCAAUGAAAGAGACUGUCAGCUUAAAAAAAAAAAAGUCUGACACGUAAGUGGCCUUACGGCACUAAUGCGCCAAGAGUUGGUAGGUAUUUAUAUGAAAGUCUCUGUGUUCCUGACUGGGGGCUGCCCCUUCUAGAUGGUGGUAAGCUGGAGCUGCUGCAGCUCUCGCGACGCUAAGGUGAUAAGCAUGAGCAUGACAGCUAAAGAGGCGGAGAAAGCGGCAGGAACCUGGGUCCAGGACGACCCCACUGUCUUCUUCACCUCCCAAGAUUGCUCCAUAUGUCGUCAUCACCCACACACCCAAGGUGCUGUUGAUAUGGUUCUUGUUGCAAGAAGCCAAAGGCAAAAGUAAUCCAUGCGGUCUUACACACAGCUCCUGUUUCUCAACCUCAAAUUAAUCUCCCUUACAUUUAGGUGAAAGUGAAGUAGCCACAUUACCCUAAUUUUGAGUCUAGAUGUUGAGGCUCCUCAGUAGACUGUCAUACUCCUUAUCAUCAAAGAGAGACAGAUAAAUACUGCCUGGAAUUAUGUGGGAAUAAAAUGAAUAUAUAUAUAUAUAAUUUAUUAUUUAUUAUUUAUUUACAUGAAUAAUUAGUGACUUCAAGAUAAAAUACACCUGUACACACAAAGAAAUUAAACCUUCUAGAUUGGCAGAUAUUGAGGCUGCAAUACCAAGCAUCAGCAAGUUCAGGUGAGUGAAUUGGUGCGGCUGUUCUGGAGACCGGUGAAGGUGCUGCCAGUGCCGAUGAACGUAACGUGCUGCGCAGGCUUGAGUGCGGCACUGAGAUACUUAGCAGGAUGCUUACUGUCACACCGCUUUUUCUUUUCUUCCCCACCCCCUCAAAUAUUGGAGGUUGAACCCAGAGCCUAAGCUGCAUCCUAAG